AGAGGUCCCGAGCGUUGUUCGGAUUCACUGGGCGUAAAGGGUGCGUAGGUGGCUUGAAAAGUUUGAUGUGAAAGCUCAGGGCUUAACCCUGAAAUGGCAUUGAAUACUGUCGGGCUGGAGGUUUGGAGGGGGGACUGGAAUUCUUGGUGUAGCAGUGAAAUGCGUAGAUAUCAAGAGGAACACCAGUGGCGAAGGCGAGUCCCUGGACAACACCUGACACUGAGGCACGAAAGCCGGGGGAGCAAACAGGAUUAGAUACCCUGGUAGUCCCGGCCCUAAACGGUGCGCGUUUGCUGUAGGAGGAAUCGACCCCUUCUGUGGCGAAGCUAACGCGAUAAACGCGCCGCCUGGGGAGUACGGUCGCAAGAUUA
rnacentral:rRNA from 1 species